rnacentral:lncRNA from 1 species
CGAAAGGACGGCCUCGAGGAGAACGGGGGAAGCCUCGCAGCGCGCGGAGAGCUGACAUCAGCCACUUCAGAUCGAACCCUUCGAUUGUAAGUGAAACAAUUUGCAUACUGAUUCCCUUCCUCAGCCUCGAGGAUCCAUAACAGCCCGGGCAGGCAGCUAUUCGCAUACGUGGAGCAUCACUAAAUACUCGCAGGGAGCGGCCGAAAAAAGGUGCCGAGGAGCAAGGCGUCGCGAACAUCGGAUGUUUUUCCUCUGGGCGAACAUUAUCUGCUUGGAAAUGGAGGCACGAGACGAUCUUUCCGCCCCUGGAUGGGAAGAGGCAGCGGCGCGCGGACGGCGGCAACUGGAAGUGGGAGCGCGAGGACGCGCGGAGCCUCACUAGACUAGAUGAAUUGUGUUUGCUAUGUCGCAUUGACUACACUUUGAGCAGAUGCAAGUAGCAUGGCUUUAGCGCUGCUGGUGCAGACAGCUUGCGAAGCUCUGCAGAGGUCAGCGGGUGCGUCACUGGAGCGCGCGUUGACACUGUGUGGAGCCCGGAGGCGUCGCGGACUUUUCCGACUUCUUCCACUGCUUUUACUCGCAAUGGGGCUUCUUUUGCCUUUUGGUGAGCGAUGA